AGCGAACGCUGGCGGCAGGCCUAACACAUGCUAGUCGAACGAACCUUUCGGGGUUAGUGGCGGACGGGUGAGUAACACGUGGGAACGUGCCUUUAGGUUCGGAAUAACUCAGGGAAACUUGUGCUAAUACCGAAUGUGCCCUUCGGGGGAAAGAUUUAUCGCCUUUAGAGCGGCCCGCGUCUGAUUAGCUAGUUGGUUGAGGUAAUGGCUCACCAAGGCGACGAUCAGUAGCUGGUCUGAGAGGAUGAUCAGCCACAUUGGGACUGAGACACGGCCCAAACUCCUACGGGAGGCAGCAGUGGGGAAUCUUGCGCAAUGGGCGAAAGCCUGACGCAGCCAUGACGCGUGAAUGGUGAAGGUCUUAGGAUUGUAAAAUUCUUUCACCGGGGACGAUAAUGACGGUACCCGGAGAAGAAGCCCCGGCUAACUUCGUG
rnacentral:rRNA from 1 species